rnacentral:rRNA from 1 species
GACGAACGCUGGCGGCGUGCUUAACACAUGCAAGUCGAACGGUAAGGCCCUUCGGGGUACACGAGUGGCGAACGGGUGAGUAACACGUGGGUGAUCUGCCCUGCACUUCGGGAUAAGCCUGGGAAACUGGGUCUAAUACCGGAUAGGACCACUGCCUGCAUGGGUGGUGGUGGAAAGCUUUUGCGGUGUGGGAUGGGCCCGCGGCCUAUCAGCUUGUUGGUGGGGUAAUGGCCUACCAAGGCGACGACGGGUAGCCGGCCUGAGAGGGUGACCGGUCACACUGGGACUGAGAUACUGCCCAGACUCCUACGGGAGGCAGCAGUGGGGAAUAUUGCACAAUGGGCGCAAGCCUGAUGCAGCGACGCCGCGUGAGGGAUGACGGCCUUCGGGUUGUAAACCUCUUUCAGCUAUGACGAAGCGCAAGUGACGGUAGUAGCAGAAGAAGGACCGGCCAACUACGUGCCAGCCGCCGCGGUAA